GACGUAGGGCGCGAGCGUUGUCCGGAUUUAUUGGGCGUAAAGAGCUCGUAGGCGGCUUGUUGCGUCGACUGUGAAAACCCGCGGCUUAACUGCGGGCCUGCAGUUGAUACGGGCAGGCUAGAGUUCGGUAGGGGAGACUGGAAUUCCUGGUGUAGCGGUGAAAUGCGUUGAUAUCGACCGGAACUCCGGUGGCGAAGGCGAGGUGCUGGACCCUUUCUGACGCUGAGGCGCGAAAGCCAGGGGAGCAAACGGG
rnacentral:rRNA from 1 species